AUUGAACGCUGGCGGCAGGCUUAACACAUGCAAGUCGAGCGGGGAAAGGUAGCUUGCUACUUAACCUAGCGGCGGACGGGUGAGUAAUGCUUAGGAAUCUGCCUAUUAGUGGGGGACAACAUCUCGAAAGGGAUGCUAAUACCGCAUACGUCCUACGGGAGAAAGCAGGGGACCUUCGGGCCUUGCGCUAAUAGAUGAGCCUAAGUCGGAUUAGCUUGUUGGUGGGGUAAAGGCCUACCAAGGCGACGAUCUGUAGCGGGUCUGAGAGGAUGAUCCGCCACACUGGGACUGAGACACGGCCCAGACUCCUACGGGAGGCAGCAGUGGGGAAUAUUGGACAAUGGGGGGAACCCUGAUCCAGCCAUGCCGCGUGUGUGAAGAAGGCCUUUUGGUUGUAUAGCACUUUAAGCGAGGAGGAGGCUACCGAGAUUAAUACUCUUGGAUAGUGGACGUUACUCGCAGAAUAAGCACCGGCUAACUCUGUGCCAGCCGCCGCCGUAA
rnacentral:rRNA from 1 species